UUGACCUCAAAUCGGGUGAGACUACCCG
rnacentral:rRNA from 5 species